GAUGAACGCUAGCGGCAGGCCUAAUACAUGCAAGUCGGACGGGAUUGAGGAGCUUGCUCUUCAUGAGAGUGGCGCACGGGUGCGUAACACGUAUGUAACCUACCUUGUUCAGGGGGAUAGCCUCUCGAAAGAGAGAUUAAGACCGCAUAACAUUGCGAUGUGGCAUCACAUUGUAAUCAAAUAUUUAUAGGAACAAGAUGGGCAUGCGGAACAUUAGCUAGUUGGUAAGGUAACGGCUUACCAAGGCUACGAUGUUUAGGGGAUCUGAGAGGAUGACCCCCCACACUGGUACUGAGGCACGGACCAGACUCCUACGGGAGGCAGCAGUAAGGAAUAUUGGUCAAUGGACGGAAGUCUGAACCAGCCAUGCCGCGUGCAGGAAGACGGCCCUAUGGGUUGUAAACUGCUUUUGCAGGGGAAUAAACCUCGAUACGUGUAUCGAGCUGAAUGUACUCUGAGAAUAAGGAUCGGCUAACUCCGUGCCAGCCGCCGCCGUAAAAC
rnacentral:rRNA from 1 species